UGAGUCCCUGUGUUUUAUAGGUUUUAACCACUUGAGUCCAAAAUCAAAAAGUUUAACGACCUGAGUCCCUAUAACCACUUUUCUUAACCAUUUGAGUCCAAAAUUUUAACAAUGUUAGAAUUAUUCAGUUAACUUUUAUUAAAUGACUAAAUUACCCUUGUACUUAAUAAAACCAUUUGAUUAUUAUUAAAACUAUUAAUAAAUAUACAAACAAAUUCCAUCCAUCAUCUUCAGAUCACAUCUGUAUAUCUACCUAAUCACUUUCUAUCUCUCUCUUAUCAUCUGUUUCAACAAAACAACCACCACCACCACCAAUCCACCACAACCACCACCGUCAUCGCCGCACCAACACCGCAGCACCACCACCUCCACCUCCACCAACACCGCAACACCACCACCAUUGUAGCCCCUCUACGACCGCUGUACCAGAUCGGAAAAUGCUAACGAAGAAUGAAAGCCAAAUCGGAGACGAUUAAAGCUCACCCGUGACUACUACCUUACACCGUUGUUGUCAGCCACCAUUUACCUGCACUAUUUUCUGGUCAUCGAUCUUUAUUUCUCCAUCUUUGUUGGACAAUACAGACCUUUUUCUGGAGACAAUUACUUAUUUGCGAGAAGAAGCCCAAUCCUCUACAUCGCGUACCAGACAACCGGCUCUUGAGCGAGAUCGGUUAGGUGCUUAUCAACGUCUAAUGUAAGAUUAUUUUUGUGAAAAUCCGUUGUACGAUGAUGUUCAGUUUAAGCGUAGGUUUCGUAUGAGCCGUCGUCUUUUCCUUAAAAUUUCUAAUGAUCUUGCGGGCGAAUUCCCUUUUUUCACACAAAGAGAAAGUGCUAGUCACAAAGUUGGUGUCUCUGGAAUACAGAAGUGUACAACAGCAAUUAGGCAAUUAGCGUACGACACAGCGAGUGAUGCGUGAGAUGAAUAUUUAAGGAUGUCGUCAAAAUGUGUCGUGAUUCUCUUGAAAAUAUAUGUGAAGGUAAUUUUUAUUCUUAUUGUUAUUAAUAUUUUUUAAUUUACAGAUUACUAUUUUUAUUCUUAUUGUUAUUAUUUUUAAUUUAUACUGUUAUUAUUUUUAAUUUACGUUGUUAUUAUUUUUAUUAACACUAUUUUAUUAGGUGUUAUCUUUCUGUACGGGAGACGAUAUUUGAGGAUGCCAACCGUUGCCGACGUUCCACUUUUAUACGAGGCCCAUCAGCGGAUACACGAGUUUCCUGGGAUGUUGGGUAGUCUUGAUUGCACGCAUUGGGAUUGGGCGGCAUGUCCAACCGCUUGGAAAGGGCAACACCACCAUCGUGGUGACCACGAUGGUCCUACCCUAAUAUUACAAGCGGUCGAUUCUCAAGAUUUAUGGAUUUGGCAUGCGUACUUUGGCAUGGCCGGUGCGAACAACGACAUCGCAAUUUUAAUGUCUUCGAAUCUUUUCGACGAUGUCAUAGAUGGUAUUGCACCAGAUACUUCAUUCUAUGCAAACGACGUGGAGUAUAAGUAUGGCGUAUGGGUACUAUCUCACAAACGGUAUUUAUCUCGAGUGGGCGACGUUGGUAAAAACCCUUUCGUGUCCAAAUGACGAAAAAAUAUUAUAUUUCAAGAAAAAACAAGAGUCAGCAAGAAAAGAUAUCGAGCGGGCCUU